CAGGGGUAGCUGCAGGAGCCCAGGUGAACUGUCAAACAAGGGUGACACAGAGAAAGAAAUGCAGAAACAACAUCCAUACUGGGAAAUAACCUGGCUUCCCCUUAGUCACGAAUCAGCUCACAGCACUAUGUGCAAACCACUGACUUCCCUAAGAGUUUCAAGGUUUGUACUCAAAUCCUCUGGGUACAGAAGGAAAACCAUGACAGGGCUCCCUCUGCCUCACUUCAUCACACAUCUAACUUCCAGAGGGAAAGGAAGAACGUGGUGUGAAACCUACCAUUUCCUACACUGGUGUCUCCUCAGAAGGAAUACUGAUCUGCACCCUGGUGAGAACACGACUGUGAUUCUCUACUUUCAAAAGGUUCGCCACGUGACAUUCUGACGUGACAUUUAUCUGCAUGUUUGCCUUCCUAACUACAGAAGGAUUGACUUGUAACAGGAGUUCUCCUUUGACAGACUGGUUAUGGGCCCUCUUGAUUUGUACAAGGAGCCCUUGGGAUGAUAGGGGCCAUCCUGAGACCCUAUGACCCACUUUGGAGCAAAUCCACCCAUUGCCUACAGAAUACCAAAUUAUGUACAUGCA